UUCCGGUUGAUCCUGCCGGACCCGAUCGCUAUCGGGGUGGGGCUAAGCCAUGGGAGUCGCACGCUCCGGUUACCGGGGCGUGGCGAACGGCUGAGUAACACGUGGCUAACCUACCCUCGGGACGGGGAUAGUCCCGGGAAACUGGGAGCAAUCCCCGAUAGGUGGAGAUUCCUGGAAGGGUUCUCCACCGAAGGGGUGUUGCGGGGAUGUCCGCAACGCCGCCCGAGGAUGGGCCACGGCCCAUCAGGUUGUUGGCGGGGUAAGGGCCCGCCAAGCCUAUAACGGGUAGGGGCCGUGAGAGCGGGAGCCCCCAGAUGGGCCCUGAGACAAGGGCCCAGGCCCUACGGGGUGCACCAGGCGCGAAAACUCCGCAAUGCGGGAAACCGUGACGGGGCCACCCCGAGUGCCCCGAAGAGGGGCUUUUCCCCGCUGUAAGGAGGCGGGGGAAUAAGCGGGGGGCAAGUCUGGUGUCAGCCGCCGCGGUAAUACCAGCCCCGCGAGUGAUCGGGACGUUUACUGGGCCUAAAGCGCCCGUAGCCGGCCCGGUAAGUCCUCCCUUAAAGCCCCGGGCAUAACCCGGGGACGGGGAGGAUACUGCCGGGCUAGGGGGCGGGAGAGGCCGAGGGUACUCCCGGGGUAGGGGCGAAAUCCGUUAAUCCCGGGAGGACCACCAGUGGCGAAGGCGCUCGGCUGGAACGCGCCCGACGGUGAGGGGCGAAAGCCGGGGGAGCGAGCCGGAUUAGAUACCCGGGUAGUCCCGGCUGUAAACGAUGCGGACUAGGUGUUGGGCAGGUCUUAGAGCCUGCCCAGUGCCGCAGGGAAGCCGUUAAGUCCGCCGCCUGGGGAGUACGGCCGCAAGGCUGAAACUUAAAGGAAUUGGCGGGGGAGCACCACAAGGGGUGGAGCCUGCGGCUCAAUUGGAGUCAACGCCAGGAAUCUCACCGGGGGCGACAGCAGGAUGAUGGCCAGGCUAACGACCUUGCCUGACGCGCUGAGAGGAGGUGCAUGGCCGUCGCCAGCUCGUGUCGUGAGAUGUCCGGUUAAGUCCGGCAACGAGCGAGACCCA
rnacentral:rRNA from 1 species